GCCUUAUCCAAGCUGGGAAUAGGAAGUUUCAAUUCUUGGAUCUUGGGACCUAGGAACAAGACCAUUGUAAUUAUGUUGGAAGAAAUUUGAGUUAAGGUGAUGAGUAGGGUGAGUAAGUCAAGAGCAUUUGCUGAAACAUGGACAAAUGAAAUAUCUCCAAUGGCAAUGGUGGUUUUCAAUACAAAUGUAACAAGAUCAAUGCAGUGCAACAUUGAAUGGAAUGGUGAUGCUGG
rnacentral:misc_RNA from 1 species